rnacentral:rRNA from 1 species
UGGGGGAUAUUGCACAAUGGGCGAAAGCCUGAUGCAGCGACGCCGCGUGGGGGAUGAAGGCCUUCGGGUUGUAAACUUCUUUUGCUCUGAACAAGGCAUGCUAAUGGGUGUGUUGAGUGUAGGGGUUGAUUAGCGCCGGCUAACUACGUGCCAGCAGCCGCGGUAAUACGUAGGGCGCGAGCGUUGUCCGGAAUUAUUGGGCGUAAAGGGCUUGUAGGUGGCUGGUUGCGUCUGUCGUGAAAGCUCAUGGCUUAACUGUGGGUUUGCGGUGGGUACGGGCUGGCUUGAGUGCAGUAGGGGAGGGUGGAAUUCCUGGUGUAGCGGUGGAAUGCGCAGAUAUCAGGAGGAAUACCGGUGGCGAAGGCGGGUCUCUGGGCUGUUACUGACACUGAGGAGCGAAAGCAUGGGGAGCGAACAGG